GUAAUAAAUAUGUGCGUUUGUGAUGUCAACAAUGAGUAUGGUGCCUGUUUGGUCAUGCUGCCCAACCUGCCCAACAUGUGGCAGAAGAAACAGAUGUUGAAAAUGGCAAUCACCAAGGUCCAAAGAAGAGGCCCUCCUAUAAUUUUCUAGAGAAAACCUCCAGAUAUGGUCCCAAAAAAGUGUGGAGGAGACCAAGGAGACAUUUUCUCUGAUAGUAAGACAGAGAAGUUCUGAGAAAAAUAAUUGCUGGCUUGCCUGUCCUUUGCUUCUAAGAGAAUGGGGAGAUGCCACCUGCUUCCUGAUGCAAACAGAGUCUGUAGCCCAUACCUGAGGAAUACGCAAUACAACUUGCUGCCAUUUUUCUCAAAGGAAUUCACUCUUCCCCGGGGCUCUGCAGAUUGUGGAAGUAUCCAACUCCAGAAAACAUCUGUCCCACCAGCCCAGGCCAUGGAGCAAAAUGCGCAGGAAGAAAGUACAGUUUCAGGCAGACAGUAAUAUACCAUAUAGAUUUAACUUCUUUUUAUCACCAAAACAUCACAUACACUAUGCUGCCUCAUUAAAUUUAGCAUAUGGGAAGAAAAU
rnacentral:lncRNA from 1 species